GUGCAAUCAUUAACAUGGUUCUACCCUUGAAAGCCUUCUGAAAAUAAUAAAGACUCAGAAACUCUUCCACUAUCAGUCCCAGUAACCAUAAUGCAAAGGUGGCAGGAACCAGUGAUCAGCUUUACCCGAAGUAAGAAGAAAGAGACAGAAUAUGCCAGUUUGGUCUGGAACUCACUACAUAUUCAAGCUGGCUUUGAUCCUGAUGCUUCUGCCUCCAAGUACUGUGAUUGUAAAUGUGAAUCCCAUUCUUUAUCUUAGAGAAUAAAAAC